rnacentral:lncRNA from 1 species
UCAGAAUUAACAAGAAUGAUAACGUGCUCCGACUUGAGCGGUUUAGGAACAGCUGGAAGGCUCUAGGGGAAUAAAGAUGGAAUGACUUCUAAUUUUUAGGUCCGUAUGAUCUGAAAUACUUGCACAAAAACCUCGAGAAAGCGUUCCUGGAAAUCUUGGCCCAAAAAAGGACGUUUAGUAAUUCUAAAAGGGACUACAAGAUGAAAAAUAAUAGUUUUGCCAGUUAAAGUUUGAGAUUCGAUGGUGUCGUAGAUCCGUUUGGUCAUCAGGUGUUACGAGCCACACCCAUGUCUAGCUAGAAUAGUGUGUCAGGCUCAGGCUGGAGAAGAAACAGGGUACAAACUGAUGAAAGAAUUAUCAUACUGAGGGAAUUCACUCAGAACUAACAAGAAUGAUAACGUGCUCCGACUGGAGCGGUUUAGGAACUGCUGGAAAGGUCUAGGGGAAUAAAGAUGGAAUGACUUCUAAUUUUUAGGUCCGUAUGGUUUGAAAUACUUGCACACAAACCGCACGAAAGCAUUCCUAGAAAUCUCGGCCCAAAAAAUGACGUUUAGUAAUUCUAAAUGGGACUAUAGGAUGAAAAACAAUAGUUUUGGCAGUUAAAGUUUGAGAUUCGAUGGUGCCGUAGAUCCGUUUGGUCAUCAGGUGUUACGAGCCACACCCAUGUCUAGCUAGAAUAGUGUGUCAGGCUCAGGCUAGAGAAGAAACGGGGAACAAACUGAUGAAAGAAUUAUCAUAACGAGGGAAUUCACUCAGAACUAACAAGAAUGAUAACGUGCUCCGACUGGAGCGGUUUAGGAACUGCUGGAAGGCUCUAGGGGAAUAAAGAUGGAAUGACUUCUAAUUUUUAGGUCCGUAUGAUUUGAAAUACUUGCACACAAACCCCGAGAAAGCGUUCCUGGAAAUCUCGGCCCAAGAAAGGACGUUUAGUAAUUCUAAAAGGGACUACAGGAUGAAAAACAAUAGUUUUGGCAGUUAAAGUUUGAGAUUCGAUGGUGCCGUAGAUCCGUUUGGUCAUCAGGUGUUACGAGCCACACCCAUGUCUAGCUUGAAUAGUGUGUCAGGCUCAGGAUAUAGAAGAAACAGGGAACAAACUGAUGAAAGAAUUAUCAUACCGAGGGAAUUCACUC